rnacentral:rRNA from 1 species
GUGGGGAAUCUUGCGCAAUGGGCGAAAGCCUGACGCAGCCAUGCCACGUGAAUGAUGAAGGUCUUAGGAUUGUACAAUUCUUUCACCGGGGACGAUAAUGACGGUGCCCGGAGAAGAAGCUCCGGCUAACUUCGUGCCAGCAGCCGCGGUAAUACGAAGGGGGCUAGCGUUGCUCGGAAUUACUGGGCGUAAAGGGCGCGUAGGCGGACAGCUUAGUCAGAGGUGAAAGCCCAGGGCUCAACCUUGGAAUUGCCUUUGAUACUGGCUGUCUUGAGUUUGGGAGAGGUGAGUGGAACUCCGAGUGUAGAGGUGAAAUUCGUAGAUAUUCGGAAGAACACCAGUGGCGAAGGCGACUCACUGGCCCGUUACUGACGCUGAGGCGCGAAAGCGUGGGGAGCAAACAGGAUUAGAUACCCUGGUAGUCC